UUCCGGUUGAUCCUGCCGGACCUGACUGCUAUCGGAUUGAUACUAAGCCAUGCGAGUCUUUGUAGUAAUACAAGGCAUACGGCUCAGUAACGCGUAGUCAACCUACCCUAUGGACAAGAAUAAUCUCGGGAAACUGAGCAUAAUUCUUGAUAGAUCAUAAUGCCUGGAAUGGUUUAUGGUUAAAAUGAUUCGUCGCCAUAGGAUGGGACUGCGGCCUAUCAGCUUGUUGGUGAGGUAAUGGCCCACCAAGGCGAUUACAGGUACGGGCUCUGAGAGGAGAAGCCCGGAGAUGGGUACUGAGACAAGGACCCAGGCCCUAUGGGGCGCAGCAGGCGAGAAAACUUUGCAAUGUGCGAAAGCACGACAAGGUUAGUCCGAGUGAUUUCUGCUAAAGAGAUCUUUUGCUAGUUAUAAAACCACUAGUGAAUAAGGGGUGGGCAAGUUCUGGUGUCAGCCGCCGCGGUAAAACCAGCACCUCAAGUGGUCAGGAUGAUUAUUGGGCCUAAAGCAUCCGUAGCCGGCUCUGUAAGUUUUCGGUUAAAUCUAUGCGCUCAACGUAUGGGCUGCCGAAAAUACUGCAGAGAUAGGGAGUGGGAGAGGUAGACGGUACUCGGUAGGAAGGGGUAAAAUCCUUUGAUCUAUCGAUGACCACCUGUGGCGAAGGCGGUCUACCAGAACACGUUCGACGGUGAGGGAUGAAAGCUGGGGGAGCAAACCGGAUUAGAUACCCGGGUAGUCCCAGCUGUAAACGAUGCAGACUCGAUGAUGCAUUGGCAUAUAGCCAGUGCAGUGUCGCAGGGAAGCCGUUAAGUCUGCCGCCUGGGAAGUACGUACGCAAGUAUGAAACUUAAAGGAAUUGGCGGGGGAGCACCACAAGGGGUGAAGCCUGCGGUUCAAUUGGAUUCAACGCCGGG
rnacentral:rRNA from 1 species